UGUAUGAAAGAAAGAGAAAGUCGUUCAGUCGUGUCCGACUCUUUGCGACCCCAAGGACACUAUACAGUCCAUGGAAUUCUCCAAGCCAGAGUAAAGGAGUGUGUAGCCGUUCCCAACCCAGUAGGUCUCCCUCACUGUGGGCAGAUUCUUUACCAGCUGAGCCACCAGGGAAGUUUGACUAAAUCAAAGUUAAAUUGAACACUGACAACCUGGAAAUCAUGUGUAAGAAGGCAUCAGAGUCAUCGUAAUGUCGACGAUCCCUCCACCAACGCUGCCCAGUGGUGACGUGGCUGGAGACUGGAGAAGAUAUGGCUUGGUCCAUACUGGGAUGGAGAUUGCCAGGGUUCUUAUUCCAGAUAAACAAAGGAGUGAGAAAAACAAUGAAGCCAUUUUCACCUAAAAGAGCAAAAAGCACAGAAGUGUCAGAGAUAAACAAUUCUCAAUGAAGACAAGAUCUAAAACUUCUCUGGAGUGAAUUACAGAAGUGAAGAAGGACAUUGGAAAUGGGAUAUUAAGGAAUUUUAAAAGCUCGGGGAGCAGGUGGAUGAUUCUGUCAUGGGACUCUGAAAUUCCCUAAGAGAGUGGCAGGAAUUAGAGCAGAAGGGAAGACUAUAGUGACUAUUUUUUUGUUGUCGUUGUUAAAGUUGUCACUAGGUCGUGUCCAGCUCUUUUGCAACCCCAUGGACUGUAGCCCACUAGGCUCCUACGUCCAUGGGAUUUCCUGGGGAAGAAUACUGGACUGGGUUAUC